UGAGUCGGCCAGACGGCCGCGUCGUCAGGUUCGCCUGACGCCGAGGAACGUCCGGGCUCCACAGGGCAAGGUGAUGGUUAACGGCCAUCCGGGGCGACCCGCGGGACAGUGCCACAGAGAACAGACCGCCGACCGGUGCGAGCCGGUCGGUAAGGGUGAAACGGUGGUGUAAGAGACCACCAGCGCUCCAGGUGACUGGAGCGGCUCGGUAAACCCCACCUGGAGCAAGGUCGGACAGCAUGCGUCCGAGGGCGGCCCGCCCGAGCAUGCGGGUAGACCGCUGGAGGCGGCUGGCAACAGUCGUCGUAGAUGGAUGGUCGUCGCCGCCGCGCUGGCAACGGUGCGGCGGAACAGAACCCGGCGUAUCGGCCGACUCAUCCC
rnacentral:RNase_P_RNA from 2 species